CCUACGGGAGGCUGCAGUGAGGAAUAUUGGUCAAUGGGCGUAAGCCUGAACCAGCCAAGUCGCGUGCGGGAUGAAGGCUCUAUGGAUUGUAAACCUCUUUUAUGCGGGAAUAAAGUGCGGGACGUGUCCUGUUUUGUAUGUACCGUAUGAAUAAGGAUUGGCUAGUUCCGUGCCAGCAGCCGCGGUAAUACGGAGGUUCCGAGCGUUGUCCGGAUUUAUUGGGUUUAAAGGGAGCGUAGGCGGCCUUUUAAGCUAGCGGUGAAAGUCUGUGGCGCAAACAUGGAAUUGCCGUUGAAACUGGGAGGCUUGAGUAUGUUUGAGGCAGGCGGAAUGCGUGGUGUAGCGGUGAAAUGCUUAGAUAUCACGCAGAACCCCGAUUGCGAAGGCAGCCUGCCAAGCCAUGACUGACGCUGAUGCACGAAAGCGUGGGGAUCAAACAGGAUUAGAUACCCCAGUAGUC
rnacentral:rRNA from 1 species